rnacentral:rRNA from 1 species
UGGGGAAUAUUGGACAAUGGGCGAAAGCCUGAUCCAGCAAUGCCGCGUGUGUGAAGAAGGCCUGCGGGUUGUAAAGCACUUUCAGUGGGAAAGAAAAGCCUGGGGCUAAUACCCCUGGGUCUUGACGUUACUCACAGAAGAAGCACCGGCUAACUCCGUGCCAGCAGCCGCGGUAAUACGGAGGGUGCAAGCGUUAAUCGGAAUCACUGGGCGUAAAGCGCACGUAGGCGGCUUGGUCAGUCAGAUGUGAAAGCCCCGGGCUUAACCUGGGAACUGCAUUUGAUACUGCCGAGCUAGAGUCUGAAAGAGGGGGGUGGAAUUCCAGGUGUAGCGGUGAAAUGCGUAGAGAUCUGGAGGAACACCAGUGGCGAAGGCGGCCCCCUGGUUCAAGACUGACGCU